UUUUUUUUUUUUUUUUUCCCCUCCAUCCCUCUCGCUAUGGUAUAUUUUUACCCACUGACAGACUCUCAGGGGAAUAAACAGACCGUACUGUGUUUUAAAUGCUCGGCGGUGCCGUGAGUGACUCACAAGGAUGAGGAUGCUGGCUCCCCCUGCUGAGGGAAAAGGAAAAAAGCUUCCGAGUUGGCCUGCUACCUCUGUUUAACUUGCAACUUCCUGGAGAUUGCCAAGUUUUAGUAAACUCAAACUAUAUGACUGUAUUAAGUUAUAUUAAAAUUAUUGCUACUAUUUUAUACUGCACCUCAACACCCUUACUGAAGUUAAGAUGU